UGAGGAAUAUUGCGCAAUGGACGAAAGUCUGACGCAGCGACGCCGCGUGGGCGAUGAAGGCCUUCGGGUCGUAAAGCCCUUUUGGCAGGGACGAGUGAGGACGGUACCUGUCGAAUAAGUCUCGGCUAACUACGUGCCAGCAGCCGCGGUAAAACGUAGGAGGCGAGCGUUAUCCGGAUUUACUGGGCGUAAAGCGUGCGUAGGCGGUUGGGUAAGUCGGACGUUAAAGCCCCUGGCUCAACUAGGGGAGGUCGUUCGAUACUGCUUGGCUUGAGGAUGAUAGAGGAAAGCGGAAUUCCCGGUGUAGCGGUGGAAUGCGUAGAGAUCGGGAGGAACACCAGUGGCGAAAGCGGCUUUCUGGCUCAUUUCUGACGCUGAUUGCACGAAAGCGUGGGGAGCAAACGGG
rnacentral:rRNA from 1 species